rnacentral:rRNA from 1 species
AGAGUUUGAUCCUGGCUCAGGACGAACGCUGGCGGCGUGCUUAACACAUGCAAGUCGAACGGAAAGGCCCUGCUUUUGUGGGGUGCUCGAGUGGCGAACGGGUGAGUAACACGUGAGUAACCUGCCCUUGACUUUGGGAUAACUUCAGGAAACUGGGGCUAAUACCGGAUAGGAGCUCCUGCUGCAUGGUGGGGGUUGGAAAGUUUCGGCGGUUGGGGAUGGACUCGCGGCUUAUCAGCUUGUUGGUGGGGUAGUGGCUUACCAAGGCUUUGACGGGUAGCCGGCCUGAGAGGGUGACCGGCCACAUUGGGACUGAGAUACGGCCCAGACUCCUACGGGAGGCAGCAGUGGGGAAUAUUGCACAAUGGGCGCAAGCCUGAUGCAGCAACGCCGCGUGCGGGAUGACGCCUUCGGGUUGUAAACCGCUUUCAGCAGGGACGAAGCUUUUUGUGACGGUACCUGCAGAAGAAGCACCGGCUAACUACGUGCCAGCAGCCGCGGUGAUACGUAGGGUGCGAGCGUUGUCCGGAUUUAUUGGGCGUAAAGGGCUCGUAGGCGGUUGAUCGCGUCGGAAGUGGAAACUUGAUGCUUAACGUUGAGCGUGCUUUCGAUACGGGUUGACUUGAGGAAGGUAGGGGAGAAUGGAAUUCCUGGUGGAGCGGUGGAAUGCGCAGAUAUCAGGAGGAACACCAGUGGCGAAGGCGGUUCUCUGGACCUUUCCUGACGCUGAGGAGCGAAAGCGUGGGGAGCGAACAGGCUUAGAUACCCUGGUAGUCCACGCUGUAAACGGUGGGUACUAGGUGUGGGGUCCAUUCCACGGGUUCCGUGCCGUAGCUAACGCUUUAAGUACCCCGCCUGGGGAGUACGGCCGCAAGGCUAAAACUCAAAGGAAUUGACGGGGCCCCGCACAAGCGGCGGAGCAUGCGGAUUAAUUCGAUGCAACGCGAAGAACCUUACC